rnacentral:lncRNA from 1 species
AUAUGCUAAAUACUUUCUCUGAUGGCUUGCUCCACAUCAUUGAUCAAUAUGAAAGUUUUCAAGUAUUUUAAUGUUCUUUCAUUGAGAUAUAACCAGAUUCAUUUUUGCUUAUGAGUGUGGUACUUAAUAGUAAUAUAUAUUGGAAUUUGUGCAUUUUAAUCCUGCUAACAUAGGUAUCGAGUAAAUCUCUUCACAAAGACUUUGACAUAUGAUUGUUUUUAAGUACUCUUAAUUUUUGAAGGGAUCAACCUCGGCUUCAUCAAGGGAAAGGAUAAACAGAGAGGACAGCAACUGGGAAGCUUUUCUCCCAUCAAUGUAAAACAAAACACUAGUCAUCUUAGAAAAUCUUGGUUUGUGACAACUUGGCCUGGCAGAGUUUUUAGGAUAAAACAUGUGUUGGGCCCGCUUUGGGCCAAACCCUGCAUGGUUUUCCCCAAAGAAUUUUUUUUUUUCUACUUUUUAUGUGGGACUUUGGAAAGAUAUAUGAAGAAAUUUUGGAACCUCCAUUCUAGGUGUGGGGGUGGAAGAAGAAAUGGAAGGGGAAGAAGGUGGUG